rnacentral:rRNA from 1 species
AUUGAACGCUAGCGGGAUGCUUUACACAUGCAAGUCGAACGGCAGCGCGGACUUCGGUCUGGCGGCGAGUGGCGAACGGGUGAGUAAUGUAUCGGAACGUGCCCAGUAGCGGGGGAUAACUACGCGAAAGCGUAGCUAAUACCGCAUACGCCCUACGGGGGAAAGCAGGGGACCGUAAGACCUUGCACUAUUGGAGCGGCCGAUAUCGGAUUAGCUAGUUGGUGAGGUAACGGCUCACCAAGGCGACGAUCCGUAGCUGGUUUGAGAGGAAGACCAGCCACACUGGGACUGAGACACGGCCCAGACUCCUACGGGAGGCAGCAGUGGGGAAUUUUGGACAAAGGGGGCAACCCUGAUCCAGCCAUCCCGCGUGUGCGAUGAAGGCCUUCGGGUUGUAAAGCACUUUUGGCAGGAAAGAAACGUCGCGGGCUAAUACCCCGUGGAACUGACGGUACCUGCAGAAUAAGCACCGGCUAACUACGUG